rnacentral:rRNA from 1 species
CACGUAGGCACCAAGCGUUGUCCGGAUUUAUUGGGCGUAAAGAGCUCGUAGGCGGUUCAGUAAGUCGGGUGUGAAAUCCCAGGGCUUAACCCUGGGCGUGCAGUGGAUACGGGCAGGCUGGAGGCAGGCAGGGGAGAACGGAAUUCCCGGUGUAGCGGUGAAAUGCGCAGAUAUCAGGAGGAACACCUAAGGCGAAGGCAGCUCGCUGGAACGGUACUGACGCUGAGGCGCGAAAGCGUGGGGAGCAAACAGG